GUCCGCGUAGAGUAGUGGUCAUCUCGCCAGAAUCACAUCUUCUGAGGCAGGCUCAGAAUGACGAUGUCUCUGGAUAUCGUGGGUUCGAACCCCACCGUGGGCA